rnacentral:rRNA from 1 species
ACGUAGGGUGCGAGCGUUGUCCGGAAUUACUGGGCGUAAAGAGCUCGUAGGCGGUUUGUCGCGUCGUCCGUGAAAACUUGGGGCUCAACCCCAAGCUUGCGGGCGAUACGGGCAGACUUGAGUACUGCAGGGGAGACUGGAAUUCCUGGUGUAGCGGUGAAAUGCGCAGAUAUCAGGAGGAACACCGGUGGCGAAGGCGGGUCUCUGGGCAGUAACUGACGCUGAGGAGCGAAAGCGUGGGUAGCGAACAG